rnacentral:piRNA from 1 species
UGGAAUUGUUACACUUUUAUUUCUGGAUUCC